UGCUGAGGCAACCAGGAAUUACAGGUUCAUGCGAGUUCAUCUGUACAAAGCCACAGAACACCUCCUUUCUCAUGCAGGAACCUAGCAGAUACAGUCCGCUAUUGGCAGGGAUCGCUAAUGUGAUGCAGGAAGACUCAUCCUCGAACAGUUUUCCGCUCCUCGUCCUGGAAGAAAAGUUUAUGCUUGCAGUGUUGUCCAAGGACAAAACCAAUACAGAAGUUCAGGAACAGAAUUUUUUGUACCCAAAUGGAAGCUGCAUCUUCUUAGUGCGAUCUCUCAGCCAUGGCAUCAGUUGAGGCAGGUACCGAGAGGUAACCCUCAUUUCAGACCGCAGGGUUGAAACCGGGAAGACCAGUCGAGAGAACGAGAACUAGACCCUGAUGGAAGCGGGACAAAACCCGCCUUCGGGCGACCGUUACCGCCGCGACGCGGCCCGCGGGCGCCAUCUUGUGGGCAGGCGGCCAUUAGCCGCGGGCGCGCCGGUCACGUCCCCCUUCUCCUGAGGGGGCUCCCGGGCGGCCGGGCCGAUCGGUACGGCCGGCGCUGCGGAGCGCGCGGGCCCCGCCGGUCGGAGCGGCGGCGGCUGCCGGCCCCAGGGUGCCCUGAGGGGGCUCAUGUCGGGGGCGCUGGCGGCUGUUUCCAGCACAGCGCCCAACAGUGACCUGAGUGCACGAGUUGUGGGGGCGUGACGGCUCCGAGGCUUUCAGAAUUCCCUUGUUUCCCCUUUCUCUCCGAGCACUUGAUUUACGGAUGAAAGACUUCGCAACUCAGGGUUGUAAAGCAGAUUGUGGAGUCUGUUUUCCGCAAUUCAGUAGGGACGCAGCGAUGCGUUUGAAGUCCUCUACAUCUGCGCUGAGAUAUGGACCUAACUUGCAAAGCAAAUGUGGAAAAUGUCUGCAAGCAUGGGACUGAAAGAGAUGACACUUGGGGAGGGAAGUCUGUGAGACGCCUCUUGAGGGUCGUGGUACCAUCUCAGAGCAACGACCCAAGGAGGCAGCUGACUUCUGUCAAAGUCCCUGUUCUCUGUUGACCAAAGGCAUUGCACCGGCUGGUGAGAUUUCUUCUUCCCCCUUCCUCUUCCCUUUCCCUGCUUCCCAGGGGAAUCGGAUGAUUAAGUGAUGGAGACUUAAGUAAUAGCAACGAUCAUCAGCAAGACUCAGAAAGAGAACUGCAGUGCAAAACAAACAAACUUUCAGCAGGAACCCAUUUUUAAUAUACUCUGCAGCACGUUUAAUAAUGUAAUUCUCCAGUGCAUCUGCAUGUUUCACUAUACUUGUGAAGGAGAAGAAACACUGGCUCAUGCAAAAUUGCUCUGAAGCAUUCAUUGAUACACCGAAAAUUCAGCAGGCCUACACCAAGUUAUGAUGUUGGGCUUUUUAUGGGUAAUUUGAUGCAAAGGAGAAACUUUUUUCUUUCAUGCGUGCAGAUUUUGUCGAAGGUGGUGACUCUUGGUUUUGUGAAGAUAAACUUCUUGCCUUUUCGAGCAUAGACGCGCCUCUGACCUUAUCUCCAGAAUAGCAAUAGAAUUUAUUAACACGAUGUGGGGCCCCAUGUGAACUGGAAUACCUUUGCUUCACUUGCUUCGGUUUUGUGUCUUUGCUCAUUUCUAAAGGGGGGAAAAUAACAAUUUUCUGAUAGUUUUGUCUGUUGCUUCCGGUCUUGUGAAACUAAUGGUAAAAUAUUCGAAGUGUUAAUCUUUAGGUGCAUUUUUUUUUUCUACAGUCUGCCAAAUUCUGUUAGCUAAAACACGGCCAAAAAGUCACACUAAGCAUGAGAAAAGACAAUGGAGUAACCUUUGCCAGCUGCUGUAUAGAACACCAACUUUUGUACAGCUUGGAGAAAAAAUGGAGUAUCAACUCCCUGGGAGAAGAAAAAAAGGAGCAUUUGAUGCUUUGAUGGUGAGAGAGGAGCUAUGAACAAUCUCUCAUUUCAGUUAAAAAUUGUUUAUACUCCUGAUUUACUCGCUGGAGAUACCACAGUAUCACUAACAACUCUUUGGUACCGUUUGUGACAACUGAUAAUUGAACUGCUUUAAAAUGGGAGUGACAGUUCAUCUCAGCCGUGACACAGAGCAGGCUGUGGUGUUCUCUGCAGCAAGGAGCCGCUGCAUGGGCAAGGGAGAACUGUUGAAGCUGCUUCUCCUCAACUUCCACUGGCAGACAGGGAUGUCGCCAGAAAUCAGCAAAACCAGGGCCGGGCCAGCAGCUGGGGCAAGUGCAGGCUCCAAGGGCACUUGGAGGCCCUUGUUAGUAACCUGAGAGUAAAAGAAUAAAGAAACCUCUGACAACUGCAGGAAAAGUCUUAGUCUCUCAUGACUGCAAGCAGUGCAGCUGGCGUCGCUAUUGCUGCCACCCGUCACGGUUUCUCCUCCUUCUCCUGGUGCUCUACUCACCUUUCCCCUCGUGUUUCCAUUGCUUGUGUCCCUCUCCCGUCUACAGUUAUCCCACCAUCUUUCUUUCCUGCUUUCUUAAAUGGUACUGUUUUCUUCUAUUAUUCUCAUAGUGUUCUGUCUCUUGUUGUUUUAGAGGGAUUCUGUUAUAUUUCCAGAGAGCUUCCUUCCUCUCCAGGUACUUAAUGCAGAUGCCACUUUUGGCUUGGACACAUCCUCUAGCUUUUCAUAUUGUCUCAGCAGAGCAGCCAUGGGACGAGCUGAAUGAUGCUGGUUUGAUGCUUGUGUCAGUCUCCGCAAGCUCUGCUUAAAACCACAUGAACUCCUUGCAAGCACAGAAAACCCGUGUGUAGGCCAUAAGUAGGUGUAACACAGGCGUUAUCUCCCUUUGUUUAAAAACAAGGUAUUGAUGACUUGCCUUAAAGAGUGACCUGUGUGAACCGACUCUACUUAGGUGAAGUUCACUUUGCACUAUUAAUGUUCCCAGUAUUUGUAAGGCUUUUUAAAUUGUAACUUUAUUAUAUAAAUGGUCUCACAGAAA